rnacentral:rRNA from 1 species
AAUCAACGCUGGCGGCGUGCCUCAGACAUGCAAGUCGAACGCGAAAGUCUCCUUCGGGGGACAAGUAGAGUGGCGCACGGGUGAGUAACACGUAGGUAAUCUACCUUCGGAUGGGGAAUAACAACCGGAAACGGUUGCUAAUACCGCAUAAUGCAGCGGCACCUAAUGGUGACAGUUGUUAAAGCGGGGGAUCGAAAGACCUCGCGUCUGAAGAGGAGCCCUGCGGCGGAUUAGCUAGNGGUAAGGUAAUGGCUUACCAAGGCUACGAUCCGUAACCGGCCUGAGAGGGCGGGUCGGUCACACUGACACUGACAUACGGGUCAGAC